rnacentral:misc_RNA from 1 species
GCCAUUUGACACAAUAAUUUUCAGACAUAAUAUCCUAAUUUUGGAAAUUACCCAGAGAUAAGCGAAAGAUGACUAACUAUUACAUUUGAUAUGAGUAUGGCAACAAAACGAGGAAACUGGUCAUCCCUUAAUCCAUAUGCAGCAUGAUCAACGCAUAAACCUUAAAAACAUGGAAACAAGCAUAUUACAAAUGAGUGAACAAAUAUUCAGAAACAACUUGGUGAUUGAUGACAACAAAAAUUACCUGAACUGCAUUAAAGCUACAGUGCAUGAUUGAUUGUACAGAAUUAUCCAACAAAUGAGAGCAUAACAACAAGGAAUCCCAUUCAAGUAGAAAUCAUAUCGUUCGCUUGAAAGAUCUUCCAUAACAUAACAGAGAAUGAACCUAAUGCUUCUAUUCUCAACUACAAUACAAUUAAUUUUGUUCUUCAUAUAAUCUUGUCUCCCUAAGGCUACUCUUUAUAUUCAGGAUCUUGUUUACCAAAGAUCAACGGGAAUUCAUCAUGCUGGUCAGAAAAACCAUGUUUCUCGGCCAUGCUCUUUAAAGAUUCAUAUACUCGGUACAUAGAAGGCCUAUCCUUGGGCCUGGAAACCACACAACUCCAAGCAAUCUUCAGGAACUGCAUUAUUUCAUCAUCAUGACCUUUCCCAUAUAGAGCUUUAUCCAUGGCUUCCUUGCUUCGACCAGUGCUCACUAAAUGAUUUACCCAAUCCACCAAAUUCCCUUUGAAUCCUUCCUCUGCAAUACUAACUUCCAAAGGCUUUUGCCCUGUAACCAACUCCAAAAGCACGAUCCCAAAGCUAUAAACAUCCCCUUUAAAUGAGGCAACCAUGGUACUUGAAUACUCAGGAGCAACAUAACCAAACUCCCCUAAAUCUCCAUUAACAAAAGAACUAUCAUUAGAAUCUCGAGAACCAACCAACCUUGCCAAACCAAAAUCAGUAAACCUAGCAUCAAAAUCGUCAUCGAGAAGUAUUACAUUAGAGCUAAUAUACUGGUGCAUAUAUGGUGGCUGGCAUCCAUGGUGGAGCCAAGUAAGCCCUCUAGCUGCACCAACACCAAUCCUAAGCCUCGUAGGCCAAUCCAAAAGACCAGAGGGACUGAAACCAAACCCACUCCCAUGCAAUUGAGAAUACAAGGUCCCAUUAGGCAUAUGCUUAUAAACCAACAGCCUCUCUUCUUCAACAACACAAAAUCCCAAUAAAGGCACCAAAUUUGGAUGCCUAAGUUGACCUAAUCUGUUCAUCUCAGACCUAAACUGCUUCUCGGUGAGCUUACAAUCACUAAGCCUUUUAAUAGCAAGAGCAGACCCAUCAGGUAAAACAGCCUUGUACGAAACCCCAGUUCUAGUUGAAAUCACAAUAUUUUCCAAAUCAAAAUUAUUAGUGGCUAGCAAUAUAUCUGCCAACUUGAUCUUAACAAUGGGCUUUUGAAACAAUGAGACUUGAACAAGCUUAUGUGACCUCAACAACUCGACCCAGCUAGAAUCAUCCUUGCCACUACCAAACCCAUAACCUUUCUUUUUGUCACUUGGCCUAAUAUACAACCACCACCAAAUCACAAACCCUAAAAUCAAAGACCCAGCAGCACCAAUAACACCAGCAACAAUGAUAAUGCCAAGGCUCUUACCACUCAAUCCGCCGCAUUUACCAAGAGGCCUACCACAAAGCCCGUCAUUCCCAUCAAAAUCAGCCUCAGGGAAUGUUGCCAAAUCAGCCGGUAGCGAACCGGACAAAUCGUUAUCCGCCACCGAAAACCGUUUCAACCGGGCAAGGCUGCCGAGACCGUAAGGGAUUGAACCGGACAACUUGUUUCCAUUCAAAAUGAGAUUGUUCAAGAACUUGCAGUUAACGAUCUCAGGCGGAAUGGAACCCGAGAAGCGGUUACUGGAGAGAUCUAGAGUAACAAUAUAAGGCAACCAAGUACAGAUUUGGGAAGGGAUCGAACCGGAAAGUGCAUUGCCGGAGAGAUCUAAGGUCUGGAGGCUGCGACAAUACUUGAGAGAAUCAGGAAGCUGUCCGGCAAGCUGAGACACCGGGAGCUGAAGGCUGAUGAUUCGGUUUUCCUUCUCAUUCCAGCAAGAAACGCCAUUAAGCUUGCAAAUAGAGGCAACGGAUUUGUUGGUCAAGUCCCAGGAAGCCAGUCUACUGAGUGGGUCAGUGAGCGAGUUUUUCAAGCCUUCAAGGCAAGUAACGUCAUCCUCAAUGGCAAAACAGAAAGGCAAACUAAAGAG